rnacentral:rRNA from 1 species
CAGCAGCCGCCGCGGGAAUACGUAGGUGGCAAGCGUUGUCCGGAAUUAUUGGGCGUAAAGGGCUCGCAGGCGGUUUCUUAAGUCUGAUGUGAAAGCCCCCGGCUCAACCGGGGAGGGUCAUUGGAAACUGGGAAACUUGAGUGCAGAAGAGGAGAGUGGAAUUCCACGUGUAGCGGUGAAAUGCGUAGAGAUGUGGAGGAACACCAGUGGCGAAGGCGACUCUCUGGUCUGUAACUGACGCUGAGGAGCGAAAGCGUGGGGAGCGAACAGGAUUAGAUACCCGCGUAGUCCCUGUCCUUAUACA